rnacentral:rRNA from 1 species
CCUACGGGAGGCAGCAGUGGGGAAUAUUGGGCAAUGGGCGCAAGCCUGACCCAGCAACGCCGCGUGAAGGAAGAAGGCCCUCGGGUUGUAAACUUCUUUUAUUCGGGACGAAACAAAUGAAGGUACCGAAUGAGUAAGCCACGGCUAACUACGUGCCAGCCGCCGCGGUAAUACGUAGGUGGCAAGCGUUAACCGGAUUUACUGGGGGUAAAGGGCGUGUAGGCGGGGGGGUAAGUCAGACGUGAAAUUCCAGGGCUCAACCCUGGAACUGCGUUUGAAACUGUUCAUCGUGAGUGAUGGAGAGGGAGGCAGAAUUCCGGGUGUAGCGGUGAAAUGCGUAGAGAUACGGAGGAACACCAGUGGCGAAGGCGGCCCGCUGGACAUUAACUGACGCUGAGGUGCGAAAGCGUGGGGAGCAAACAGGAUUAGAUACCCCUGUAGUC